CAAAAGAAGAAAAAUAUGUACAAACUUCGAUAAACGAAAUUGCAAUGUGUGAGAGAGUGAGUACGAAUGAGGAGAGGAGAACAUAUUGUAUGAAUAUUCGCAAUAUUCGCUAUAUUCGAAAGAUAACAGUGGAUUGAUUUUUGGUAAUUUUGCGAUAACAGUGGAUUGAGUUUUGAUCAUUUUGAGAUACCGUUGGAGUGCUUUUUGAAUGUACGCGCUGCCAUUUCUUGUCCCGCAAUGUCUUUAACGAUGAUUGAAUUUUCCCAGACUGACGGUGGAAAUUCCUGUUACAGCAAGAACCUGGGCGAAAGUAAACAUACAAAAUAGUAACAGUACUAAUACAAAUGUAAAUACGAAAAGCUUUUGCAGGACUAAAAAGUUUCUUCAUUAUAAAAUAUUGUAUGCCGUUAAAUUGAAAAUUUACAAAAAAUUUUCAAAAGAAACUUUAAAAAUUUCGUUUUAAAUAAAUACUAUAUGAAUGAAACUUGGACGUAUGAGUUACUUAAAUAUGCACGAAAAGUAACAAAAUUAAUAUUAGUAACCAAAUGGCCGAUGGGGCAGAAGUAAAACCGGACGCUAUUAAAAUCGGUAGCAG